AGGGUUUGAUCCUGGCUCAGGAUUAACGCUGGCGGUAUGUCUAAUACAUGCAAGUCGAACGAGGCUUCGGCCUAGUGGCGAACGGGUGCGUAACACGUUGGAACCUGCCCUGAACUCAGGGAUAACAUUUAGAAAUAGAUGCUAAUACCGGAUAGUCCCGAAAGGGUAAAGAUUUUUCGGUUCGGGAGGGUCCUGCGGCCUAUCAGCUUGUUGGUGAGGUAAUAGCUCACCAAGGCUAUGACGGGUAGCUGGUCUGAGAGGAUGAUCAGCCACAAUGGGACUGAGACACGGCCCAUACUCCUACGGGAGGCAGCAGUAAAGAAUCUUUCGCAAUGGGGGAAACCCUGACGAAGCAAUACCGCGUGGACGAUGAAGGUCGAAAGAUCGUAAAGUCCUUUUCUGAGGGAAGAAUUCUGACGGUACCUCAGGAAUAAGCACCGGCUAACUACGUGCCAGCAGCCGCGGUAAUACGUAGGGUGCAAGCGUUAUCCGGAAUCAUUGGGCGUAAAGCGUCCGCAGGCGGUUAAUUAAGCCAAACAUUAAAUCUUGGAGCCCAACUUCAAGGCUGUGUUCGGAACUGGUUAACUAGAGUCUUUC
rnacentral:rRNA from 1 species